GGUGGUCUAGUGGUUAGAGUGUCCGCCUCUGAUGCGGAAGGUCAUGGGUUCGAUACCCUGCGCG